rnacentral:rRNA from 1 species
GAUGAACGCUGGCGGCGUGCUUAACACAUUCAAGUCGAACGAAGUAGCAAUACUUAGUGGCGGACGGGUGAGUAACGCGUGAGCAACCUGCCUUUGUGAGGGGAAUAACGUCUGGAAACGGACGCUAAUACCGCAUAACGCAUAUGUAUCGCAUGGUAUGUAUGCCAAAGAUUUAUUGCACAAGGAUGGGCUCGCGUCUGAUUAGAUAGUUGGUGGGGUAACGGCCUACCAAGUCGACGAUCAGUAGCCGGACUGAGAGGUUGAACGGCCACAUUGGAACUGAGAUACGGUCCAGACUCCUACGGGAGGCAGCAGUGGGGAAUAUUGGGCAAUGGGCGAAAGCCUGACCCAGCGACGCCGCGUGAGGGAAGAAGGUCUUCGGAUUGUAAACCUUAAACAACAGGGACGAAACAAAUGACGGUACCUGUUAGGAAGCCACGGCUAACUACGUG